rnacentral:rRNA from 1 species
UACGGGGGGAGCAAGCGUUGUUCGGAUUUACUGGGCGUAAAGGGCGCGUAGGCGGCUUUUCAAGUCGGGCGUGAAAUCUCCGGGCUUAACCCGGAAGGGUCGUUCGAUACUGUUGAGCUAGAGUGUGGAAGAGGCAACUAGAAUUCCGUGUGUAGCGGUGAAAUGCGUAGAUAUACGGAGGAAUACCUGAGGCGAAGGCGGGUUGCUGGGCCAACACUGACGCUGAGGCGCGAAAGCCAGGGGAGCAAACGGG